UGGGAGCUUGCUCCCUGAAGUCAGCGGCGGACGGGUGAGAAACACGUGGGCAACCUGCCUGUAAGACUGGGAUAACUCCGGGAAACCGGGGCUAAUACCGGAUAAUUCUUUCCCUCACAUGAGGGAAAGCUGAAAGAUGGUUUCGGCUAUCACUUACAGAUGGGCCCGCGGCGCAUUAGCUAGUUGGUGAGGUAACGGCUCACCAAGGCAACGAUGCGUAGCCGACCUGAGAGGGUGAUCGGCCACACUGGGACUGAGACACGGCCCAGACUCCUACGGGAGGCAGCAGUAGGGAAUCUUCCGCAAUGGACGAAAGUCUGACGGAGCAACGCCGCGUGAGUGAUGAAGGUUUUCGGAUCGUAAAACUCUGUUGUUAGGGAAGAACAAGUACCGGAGUAACUGCCGUUAUCUUGACGGUACCUAACCAGAAAGCCACGGCUAACUACGUGCCAGCAGCCGCGGUAAUACGUAGGUGGCAAGCGUUGUCCGGAAUUAUUGGGCGUAAAGCGCGCGCAGGCGGUUCCUUAAGUCUGAUGUGAAAGCCCCCGGCUCAACCGGGGAGGGUCAUUGGAAACUGGGGAACUUGAGUGCAGAAGAGAAGAGUGGAAUUCCACGUGUAGCGGUGAAAUGCGUAGAGAUGUGGAGGAAC
rnacentral:rRNA from 2 species